rnacentral:lncRNA from 1 species
AUGAAAGAAAACAAGAAGUGUCUAGGAGCCGAUGCCCUCCCCGGGGACCGGAGCCACUCAGGGCAAGUGAGUCGACCGCGAGCCGCGGUGACCGCUCCAGCGGACGCAGGCGCAGGGCGAGCAGCGGACGAGCAACGCAGCAGCCGGCCUGCGGCUUCCGUGCGCGUGCGCGGUCCCCAAGGGCGGGGCCUAAACCCUAGUGGGCGGGGCCUCGAGACGUCGGUUUCCCUUUGCUACUUAAUUUGGAUCCAGAGCAGUGCCUACGUGGAGGAGCUUCCACGCUGCGACUCCGCGGACCUGCCUCCUGACGCCCGCACGACCCCGCUGACAGCGAGCAGCCGUCUCCCGACUCUUCCUCCUGAGGUAACUGGGCCAGGAUCUCCUCAGGCUGGAGGCCGAGUCCUGGAUCCCUCGUCCCAUCGGUUGGGCUGCCUGCGCUCCCUUCAAGGCUGUGCCUCCCUCUGCUCACUCUGUUUGACCCGAUCUAUGAACCCCAUGAGCCGCCUAUGCUCGCCCAUCGUGCGUGCCCAAAGCACCCUUAUCUUCUGCCUUUCUAAUAUAUCUAUUAGAGUGUUGGGUCGUAACUGCCCCUCUUGUCUGUAGGACGACCGCGUGGCCCUAAGUACUUUCCAGAAUGCCUGAGUUAUUUGAAAGCCUCCAAGUAUGUUCGGACAAAUUAACUUGAUUUAACUUCCAGUUAUUUUGUAGUUGUUGCUUUCUGUUUUGACGUAGUAGGGAUUGAACCUGGAAGUUUUUGUAUAAUAAGGCUUAAAACUCUGGGCUGUAUUUAUUACCAGCCCUUAUGGCUACUUUGAGACAAGCUUCACUAACUCCCCCAAAGGAUAUUCUAAUUUCUCUCUGUAGCUCAGGUCCACUUUAAAUAUGCAUUCCUUCUGCCCCGGCCUCCUUCAUAGCUGGGAUUACAGGCCUUUGCCAUCCCUACUUAUAUUUAUAUUGACUUUCAAGAAUUUUAUAAUAAUUAAAUGUGUGAUACAGUAGACUGAUAUACAGGUUGCUUUAUCUAGGGCAUGUUCUUCCUUUUCUUUUCUUUUGGUUUUUCGAAGCAGGGUUUCUCUGUGUAGCUUUGGAGCCUAUCCUGGCACUCGCUCUUAGACCAGGCUGGCCUGGAACUCACAGAGAUCCACCUGCCUCUGCCUCCCGGGUGCUGGGAUUAAAGGCGUUCGCCACCAACGCCCAGUGGGCAUGCUCUUUCUAUUCCUGUGAUGUUACAGCAAGCUCUCUAUACUUGAAUUAUAUUUUCAGCCUCUUUUUUUUUUUUUUUUUUCUGAGAUCGGUUUUCUCUGUGUAGCCCUGGAUAUCUUAGAACUCACUCUGUAGACCAGGCUGACCUUAGAAAUCCGACUGCCUCUGCCCC